rnacentral:rRNA from 1 species
CAGGGAAUCUUGCGCAAUGGGCGAAAGCCUGACGCAGCAACGCCGCGUGGGGGAUGAAGGCCUUCGGGUUGUAAACCCCUUUCAGGAGGGAAGAAAAUGACGGUACCUCCAGAAGAAGCCCCGGCCAACUACGUGCCAGCAGCCGCGGUAAUACGUAGGGGGCGAGCGUUGUCCGGAAUUAUUGGGCGUAAAGAGCUCGUAGGCGGCUCAGCAAGUCGGCUGUGAAAUCCCGAGGCUCAACCUCGGAACUGCAGUCGAUACUGCUGUGGCUAGAGUCUGGUAGAGGAGAGUGGAAUUCCCGGUGUAGCGGUGAAAUGCGCAGAUAUCGGGAGGAACACCAGUAGCGAAGGCGGCUCUCUGGGCCAGUACUGACGCUGAGGAGCGAAAGCGUGGGGAGCAAACAGG